GAUGAACGCUGGCGGUAUGCUUAACACAUGCAAGUCGUACGAAGAUAAAAUUGUGCUUGCACGAUUUUAUACUUAGUGGCGGACGGGUGAGUAACACGUAAGAAUCUACCUUUUGGCGAGGGACAACCACUGGAAACGGUGGCUAAUACCUCAUAUAAAUGAGAAGUGAAAGAUGAAAAUCACCAAGAGAUGAGCUUGCGUCUGAUUAGCUAGUUGGUAAGGUAAAGGCUUACCAAGGCGACGAUCAGUAGCUGGUCUGAGAGGAUGAUCAGCCACACUGGGACUGAGACACGGCCCAGACUCCUACGGGAGGCAGCAGUGAGGAAUUUUCCGCAAUGGGCGAAAGCCUGACGGAGCAAUACCGCGUGAAGGAUUAAGGCCUAUGGGAAGUAAACUUCUUUUCUCAGAGAAGAAUUUUGACGGUAUCUGAGGAAUAAG
rnacentral:rRNA from 1 species